AUACUUACCUGGCAGGGGAGAUACCAUGAUCAUGAAGGUGGUUUUCUCAGGUCAAGGCUUAUCCACUGAACUCUGGAUGUGCUGACCCCUGUGAUUUCCCCAAAUAUGGGAAACUCGACUGCAUAAUUUGUGGUAGUGGGGGUUUGUGUUCACAUUCCCCCC